UACGGGGGGGGCAAGCGUUGUUCGGAAUUACUGGGCGUAAAGGGCUCGUAGGCGGCCAACUAAGUCGGACGUGAAAUCCCCAGGCUCAACCUGGGAACUGCGUCCGAUACUGGAUGGCUUGAAUUCGGGAGAGGGAUGCAGAAUUCCAGGUGUAGCGGUGAAAUGCGUAGAUAUCUGGAGGAAUACCGGUGGCGAAGGCGGAUCUCUGGGCCGUAACUGACGCUGAGGAGCGAAAGCAUGGGGAGCGAACAGG
rnacentral:rRNA from 1 species